rnacentral:rRNA from 1 species
CUACGGGAUGCUGCAGUGGGGAAUAUUGCACAAUGGGCGCAAGCCUGAUGCAGCCAUGCCGCGUGUAUGAAGAAGGCCUUCGGGUUGUAAAGUACUUUCAGCGGGGAGGAAGGGAGUAAAGUUAAUACCUUUGCUCAUUGACGUUACCCGCAGAAGAAGCACCGGCCAACUCCGUGCCAGCAGCCGCGGUGAAUACGGAGGGUGCAAGCGUUAAUCGGAAUUACUGGGCGUAAAGCGCACGCAGGCGGUUUGUUAAGUCAGAUGUGAAAUCCCCGGGCUCAACCUGGGAACUGCAUCUGAUACUGGCAAGCUUGAGUCUCGUAGAGGGGGGUAGAAUUCCAGGUGUAGCGGUGAAAUGCGUAGAGAUCUGGAGGAAUACCGGUGGCGAAGGCGGCCCCCUGGACGAAGACUGACGCUCAGGUGCGAAAGCGUGGGGAGCAAACAGGAUUAGAUACCCCUGUAGUC